rnacentral:rRNA from 1 species
AGAGUUUGAUCAUGGCUCAGGAUGAACGCUGACAGAAUGCUUAACACAUGCAAGUCGAUUGGAAGUUCUUCGGAAUGGAAGAUGGCGGACGGGUGAGUAACGCGUAAGGAACUUGCCUCUUGGACUGGGACAACUGUUGGAAACGACAGCUAAUACCGGAUAUAAUGAGAUUCUCGCAUGAGAAACUUAUGAAAGCUAUAAGCACCAAGAGAGAGCCUUGCGUUCCAUUAGCUAGUUGGUGAGGUAAAGGCUCACCAAGGCGACGAUGGAUAGCCGGCCUGAGAGGGUGAACGGCCACAAGGGGACUGAGACACGGCCCUUACUCCUACGGGAGGCAGCAGUGGGGAAUAUUGGACAAUGGACCAAAAGUCUGAUCCAGCAAUUCUGUGUGCACGAAGAAGGUCUUCGGAUUGUAAAGUGCUUUCAGUUGGGAAGAAGAAAGUGACGGUACCAACAGAAGAAGCGACGGCUAAAUACGUGCCAGCAGCCGCGGUAAUACGUAUGUCGCAAGCGUUAUCCGGAUUUAUUGGGCGUAAAGCGUGUCUAGGCGGAUAAGAAAGUCUGAUGUGAAAAUGCGGGGCUCAACUCCGUAUUGCGUUGGAAACUACUUAUCUAGAGUACUGGAGAGGUGGGCGGAACUACAAGUGUAGAGGUGAAAUUCGUAGAUAUUUGUAGGAAUGCCGAUGGAGAAGUCAGCUCACUGGACAGAUACUGACGCUGAAGCACGAAAGCGUGGGGAGCAAACAGGAUUAGAUACCCUGGUAGU